rnacentral:rRNA from 1 species
UUUAAAGUCUGACCUGCCCACUGAGGAGUUAAAUGGCCGCGGUACUUUGACCGUGCAAAGGUAGCAUAAUAAUUAGUUUUUUAAUUGAAAGCUGGAAUGAACGGUUGGACGAGAAAAUGACUGUCUCGGUUUAAUUUUAUUAGAAUUUUAUUUUUGAGUUAAAAAGCUUAAAUUUUUUUAAAAGACGAGAAGACCCUAUAGAGUUUUAUAUUUGUUGUUAUUAUUAUUGUUUAGUUAAUUUAUUUAAUGAUAUCAAUUAUUAUUUGGUUGGGGUGAUUGAAAAAUUAGAUAAACUUUUUUUAUUAUUGAUUCAUUAAUAUAUGUUUUUUUGAUCCAUUAUUUAUGAUUAAAAGAUUAAAUUACCUUAGGGAUAACAGCGUAAUUAUUUUUGAGAGUUCUUAUCGAAGAAAUAGGUUGCGACCUCGAUGUUGGAUUAAAAUUAACUUUUGGUGUAGGGGCUAAAAGGUUAGGUCUGUUCGACCUUUAAAAUUUUACAUGAUCUGAGUUUAAACCGGCGUGAGCCAGGUUGGUUUCUAUCUUUAAAAAUAAUAAAUAUUUUAGUACGAAAGGACCAGAUAUUUGUAAUAUUUAUUAGUAUUGGAUUUUUAUUAAUUAUA